UGGCUCAGUCAGUUAAGCAUCUGCCUUCUGCCCAGAUCAUGCAUGAUCUCAUGGUUCGUGAGUUUGAGCCCUGCAUCGGGUAAACGUGAGCCCUCAUCGGAUGAACACGAGCCCUGCUUCAGCCAGUAUCCUCAGGUGUCCAUGGAGAUGAACUGAGGCUUUCUGCCAACAGCCAUGAGAGUAUGCCACCUUGGAAUGGAUCCUCCAGCCCCAGACAAGCCUUCAGCAGACUGCAGUCCCAGUUAACAACUCGAGUGAAACCUUGCAAGAGACCCUGAGCCGGACCAACCAGCUAACCUGCUUCCAGAUUCCUGACCCUCAGAAAUCUUGUGAAGAAUGUCCAUAGUGCUUAUCCCAUAUGUACCACGACUGCCAGUGGCUUCAGGAAGCUACCAGUAUGUAAUGUGCUUCCUCUUGCCUCUGGACAUGCUUUCUCCCCUCCAUCUGGAUUAUGCUACUCUGUACCUUCAUUUGCCUGCGAAACUAUCUUCCUUCAAGAUUCAGUCCAGACAUCAUCCAUCCUGUGAAGCCUUAUGAUAUAUCC